rnacentral:rRNA from 1 species
CCUACGUGAGGCAGCAGUAGGGAAUCUUCCACAAUGGGCGAAAGCCUGAUGGAGCAACGCCGCGUGGGUGAAGAAGGUCUUCAGAUCGUAAAACCCUGUUGUUAGAGAAGAAAGUGCGUGAGAGUAACUGUUCACGUUUCGACGGUAUCUAACCAGAAAGCCACGGCUAACUACGUGCCAGCAGCCGCGGUAAUACGUAGGUGGCAAGCGUUAUCCGGAUUUAUUGGGCGUAAAGGGAACGCAGGCGGUCUUUUAAGUCUGAUGUGAAAGCCUUCGGCUUAACCGGAGUAGUGCAUUGGAGACUGGGAGACUUGAGUGCAGAAGAGGAGAGUGGAACUCCAAGUGUAGCGGUGAAAUGCGUAGAUAUAUGGAAGAACACCAGUGGCGAAAGCGGCUCUCUGGUCUGUAACUGACGCUGAGGUUCGAAAGCGUGGGUAGCAAACAGGAUUAGAUACCCUAGUAGUC